GUGUCCUAUCAGAGAUAUCUAAUAAAAUUAGAACGAUACAGAAAAAAUUAGCAUGGUUUCUGCGUAAAGAUAACACACACAAAUUAAGAAAUAGUUCAGUUUUUU